UUUCCACCCGUUUUCUUAACGGCAGGUUGACACGAAAAUGACAUAAAAAUGCCAACACUACACGAUUGCCAGGUCUGACAAUGCUAGAAGCAUAAAACUGCUAUUCUGCUCAUUUUUGGGGGUUAUUUGUUUUUUUCUUUUGAACUCUUUUUCGUUUUUCUUUUUGGUGCACUGUUCAAUUUUGUUUCUAUUGCAUUCAAGUCUUCUUUCUAUAGAAGAUACCCAUGAAUGGUCUCUGCAGUUUCAUUUCAUUUAGAAAUGUCACAGGAAUCCCUAUUUGUUGUGCUUUGUUUUAGGGCUCUAGACUUUAGAUAGUUUGUUAAUAUGACCCUGUUUGAUUUAAUUUUUCACUUUUGUGGUUUGCUGUUUCGUGCUUUGUUUUGGUAUUGGGUUUUUCUGUGAUUGUAUGUAAAAAUAUUGUUUGUUUUGAUAUUGGG
rnacentral:lncRNA from 1 species